rnacentral:lncRNA from 1 species
CAAUGUCGACACAGACGUCCUAGCCGCAUGACCCUGGGCAAGUCACUCAACCCUCAUUGUCUAGCCUUACCCUCCUCUGCCUUGGAACCAGUCCACAAUGGAACCAAGACACAAGUCAAAGGUUUAAAAAGGA